GAUGAAGAACGUAGUGAAAUGCGAUAAGUAAUGUGAAUUGCAGAAUUCAGUGAAUCAUCGAAUCUUUGAACGCACCUUGCGCUCCUUGGUAUUCCGAGGAGCAUGCCUGUUUGAGUGUCAUUAAUAUAUCAACCUCUUCAGCUUAUGCUUGUUGAGUGUUGGAUGGUGGGGGUUUGCUGGUGUCUUAUGAAGUCAGCUCCUCUGAAAUGCAUUAGCGGAACAAUUUGUUGACCGUUCAUUGGUGUGAUAAAAAUAUCUACGCUGUUGACGUCAGUCAGUUCAGCUUCUAACAGUCCAUUGACUUGGACAAAUUUUUCAUUAAUGUGACCUCAAAUCAGGUAGGACUACCCGCUGAACUUAAGCAUAUCAAUAAGCGGAGGA
rnacentral:misc_RNA from 1 species